rnacentral:rRNA from 1 species
GACGAACGCUGGCGGCGUGCCUAAUACAUGCAAGUUGAGCGCUGAAGGUUGGUACUUGUACCAACUGGAUGAGCAGCGAACGGGUGAGUAACGCGUGGGGAAUCUGCCUUUGAGCGGGGGACAACAUUUGGAAACGAAUGCUAAUACCGCAUAAAAACUUUAAACACAAGUUUUAAGUUUGAAAGAUGCAAUUGCAUCACUCAAAGAUGAUCCCGCGUUGUAUUAGCUAGUUGGUGAGGUAAAGGCUCACCAAGGCGAUGAUACAUAGCCGACCUGAGAGGGUGAACGGCCACAUUGGGACUGAGAAACGGCCCAAACUCCAAAGGGAGGCAGCAGUAGGGAAUCUUCGGAAAUGGACGAAAGUCUGACCGAGAAACGCCGGGGGAGGGAAGAAGGUUUUGGGAUCGAAAAACCCUGUUGGUAGAGAAGAACGUUGGGGGGAGGGAAAAGCCCAAAAAGGGACGGGAACAAACAAAAAAGGGAAGGACAAAUAAGG